UACGGGGGGGGCAAGCGUUGUUCGGAAUUACUGGGCGUAAGGGGCUCGUAGGCGGCCAACUAAGUCAGACGUGAAAUCCCUCGGCUUAACCGGGGAACUGCGUCUGAUACUGGAUGGCUUGAAACCGGGAGAGGGAUGCGGAAUUCCAGGUGUAGCGGUGAAAUGCGUAGAUAUCUGGAGGAACACCGGUGGCGAAGGCGGCAUCCUGGACCGGCAUUGACGCUGAGGAGCGAAAGCCAGGGGAGCAAACGGG
rnacentral:rRNA from 1 species